CGCCGCUAGCACCGGGUGACGUCACCGCCAGCGACCGCCGGCUGUUUGCAGCAUCGAGAGGGAAGGCGCUCCGGAGUGAUGGCGUCUUCGAUCUGGAAGGGGUUGGUAGGGGUCGGUCUGUUCGCCUUGGCACACGCGGCCUUCUCCGCAGCUCAGCGUAAGUCUGUGUCCCGAGCUGUCUCGGCCGCCGGUGGAGAAGCUGCCCUGCCCAGCCUCCCCCUAUCCCCGGCAGGCUCCAGCUCAUUCAGGGUAUGGCCUGCUGCUGGCCUGCAAUAGGCAUCAUCUCCGGCUGGCUGAGGGUCAUAGGAGCUUUAAUACUGCACCACCCCCUCCCAGCUCUAGAAGAACGUUUUAACCCUAAAUGAACCCAGAUCUCGGUGUAAUGAUACGCACAAAUCAAAUGGCUCUCUCUAUCUUUAAUAUGACAACUGGAAUGCAGCUCUCUGAGUGUAUUAAUGCAGCCCAAUCAUAGAAUUCAAGCUAAUGGUAAAAAAAAUAAUUGUAAUAAAGCUAUUUAAAGGAACUCAAAAAAAAUAUAUAUAAAUAAAUAUAUAUAUAUAUAUAUAUAUAUUUUUUAUGUAUGAUGAGUUCCCUAGGAGUUAUGGUAUCCACCCCUCCCCCCCCCUUCAUUUUUGUUUUAAAAAUACAUUUUUAUAAAGCAGGUAAACUCACCUGUAACCCAGUGCAGAGACAGAUGUUGAGAUCAUAAACACAUUGAUCUUUAUCCAGUACAAUGCUUCUCUAAGAAUUUGGGACAUACAGAGCCAUGAUAGGCAAUGGCUACAAUCUGCUUAAGUAUUUUUUUUUUUUUUUAUGAGAAGCAUUAGCUGCGUUCAUUUAAUCACGCUGUGCUUCAUGACGCCAGCAGUCCUUUAUAAAUAGGAGAAUUUCAAGGAAGAAGGUUCUAGUGUCUGUGUGUAUAUACUUGACAGUGUUUGACGUGUUUUCAGGUAAAUGUAAAUAUUGCUGUUUUUGAGAAGUGAAGGGAAAGCAUCUGUACCUCAAAACCACUACAUAAAGAUAGAGGUUUUGGUACUUAAAGUAUUCUUGAGGAGGGACACACACACACCUCUUAUUCUGCACUAUUGAAUUAAGAGCUGGAGGUUGCAGAGACAAAUAUAAGUUGUUGAAAAUUAAAAGUAAAUAUGUUUCUAGAAAAAUUCUUCUUAUUACCUAUGUUUUUAAUUUUUCAGUUUUAUCCCAAGUUUGAAAUACACGUUGAAUUAUCAAUAAUUGACUGUUUAGUAUGGCGAGCAUUCGGUAUCUUCAUGCAGAGGGUGAAGACUGUGGUCAACGUUUGCUAAAUCACAACACAAGGUCCUCUCCAGCCACUAGAACUAUGCUUAGGGACAUGUGUGAACACUACCUUUUCUCAGUGAAGGCAUUGUUUACAAAUCAGAACAGUUAAUGUGCAGCAGGACCACUAUAUUAAAAGCUGUAGUAAUUCUGGCGCUUAGUGUCCCAUUAAGCAUAAAAAAUUAUAACUGUGUCGCUCUUCACAUAUAUUUAAAUAUCUAAAUCAAUUCCUAUACCUAUUUGCUGUGAGCUUACUUUAAAAAAAAAAUUCUUUAUUUAGGUGUGCAUUGUGUAAUAUAGAUGCAUUUAUAUCACUUUAGCAUAUCAACGGUGUUUCAUAACUAGCAUUAAACAUAUACUGUGAUUGUGGUUAUGUAUAUAUUUUUAUUUUAUUCUAUCAUGAGUGUGUCCCUAGUGAGCUUCUAAUGAUCAUGAUGCGUAAGAACACUUGUGUUUUCCGUCUAAGCCUAGGGAGGGUGGUGCAAGAGGUAUAUAUUCUGAGGGGAGUGCAGGUAUUUGCGGACCAUUUGUGUUGGCUCUCGUGUGAUCAGGCCUAGGAACAUGUACAGGUCUGUGGGGUAGACCUAGAUUGAAGGCCAGCGACAUUCUGCAAGUGAAUGCUGUUUGUGUGUGUUGUUCUCCUCAUGAGAGGGGGGUGUCUACCAUUGUGCGUAGCGGACCUCUCGGUGGAGGUAGUGCCCCUAACCAAGGGGGUGUCGGGGGGGGGGCGGUGCGGUCUGUGCGUACGGUACAGUGGCAUGCUAUAAAUGGCAUUGUGAAACCGGACCAGGGCCAUAAAUGGAACUAUUAAGCGAGUGUGAGUGAGAUAUGGUUAGCCAGGGCUCCUUAUUCCUAGGCAUCCCAGGCCCAUUAUUGUGUCACCGUGUGGGUGAAUAAGCGAAAACAUAAACAUGAAACCAAAAUCAUAACGUUAAAACUUUGCAGUCCUGACCCUUGUGGGAGACGAGGAGGGAUCUUGGCGCCUCCAUCUGUAGGUCACUCCUGCGGCCCGCAGUCAGGUGGUGAGAGGGCUCCAGGAUUUCCUCCAUUGCAAUGUGGUUUCGGAUAAGUCCUGGUAAAAGGACAGUUGGGAGUCCUCAAAUAUAAGUGGGGUCUUGUUCCUCACCACUGCCAUGAUGUGCCCUUUGUUUUGAUUUAGUGUACAUCGGGGUAUGAUGUCCCCGGGCACUGUGGAAGUAGUUGUGGUUGGCGUCGGUAGGUGAUAUAGCCCAGCGAUAUUGAUUUUUCUUGCGGUGGUGGGUGGCAGCACCGUGGUUAGCAGCCUCCUCACAUAGUUUGGCAAUUCUUCUCCAGGGACAGUAGCAGGUAUCCCCCUGAUCUUUAUGUGGUUGCGGCGGUACCUGUCCUCUUGCGCCGAUAAUUACAAUGAUACCUGUUGGGCUGUUUGUAAUUGGAGCAUGGAUGCCUGCAUAGUGGAGGCUCUGUGUGAGGCAACCACAACUCCACCGUGUCCCCCACGAGGUCCCCUGCUCAGGACGUGCUCGAGGUCACUGUAAGCCGGCCUGUAGAAGGCCCCCGUACUUGCAUUUAGUUUUUGGUUGCUUCAGGCAGUAUAUGAAGGGCAAGAUAUCUCGCAGAUUGUGUUUUCACUGUCGGAGCAGGGAGAAAUAGCAUUUUUUUUUAAAACCCUUUCUCUAAUACCUUUUUAACUGUCAGGGGAAUCCAUUUUACUCGUCUUGAUAGGUUGAUAUAAUGGGGACAAUUGAUUCAGCAAAUACAUAUUGACCAAAUAAUUAAUUCCAGUGUUUAAUUCCUUAUUUUCCUUGCUGUUAACUUGGGUGUUUGGUCUUUAAACCCUGAAUUGCUAAGUGAAUUGAAAAAAUGCUCAUUUAGAAAAGUGCUCUAGCAUUGCUGUUUUAGCCCACACUGCGUAAUUUGAUUUUCAUUUCACUAAAAUUGGGUUAAGUAAAUAAACAUGUAGGUGUUCACAUAUGCGCUUGGUCAGAGUGCUUCUUCUCAUUUUUUAUUCGCCAGGCUGUGCUACCAUGCAUACCGUAUUUCACAGCAUAAUGGUAGCACCCUGAUUUUUCAGUCCAAAAAUUUGUUCAAAUCCAUUUCAUCGCGUAAUAGUCGCAUAACUGACCAUUGCUGUUUUUGUUGUGAGACAUUCUUAUUCUUGAAAACUGAUGGCGAACAUCCUACUAAUCUUAUACUUUAGACACGAUUUAUUACCUAUCGUUUUUUUGUAUUUUAGUGCAUUUUACCUAUGUAAUGCAUUAGGAAAUGUGCAUGUUCUUAGCUAAAACAGGAGGACAGGGAUCAGGAUCAGAGUUUAUGUAAUGCAUUAAGAAAUAUGCAUAUUCUCAGCAACUGUUAUGUUCUCAGCAACUAUAGUAUUAUCAGCAACUAUUAAAAAACAAACAAAAAAAACCCCAAAGCUCCACAUGAUAGUCGCAUAUAAUAUCACAAAAAAUAAAGCUUCACAUAACUGUUGCACACAGCAUAAUGGUCGAACCCCCGUUUUUAAAGGAAAGGAAUUAAAAUCGGCGACCAUGUGGUUAAAUAUGGUAUUUGACAGAGGUUUUACGUUUAAACAUGCCCAGCAUUGUUGUUGAAUAUUCUUUAAAACCAAAUGAAAUGCAAAGUCUGCAUGUAUUAAAGUGCGUUUGAGUACUUAUUCAUCGCUGUAUUGCCAGCCAUUCCUUUUUCUUUUAAAAGAAGAAAAACUACCACAACAAGAGGACAUAGUCUUAAAUUAGAGGGACAAAGGUUUAAAAAUAAUAUCAGGAAGUAUUACUUUACUGAGAGGGUAGUGGAUGCAUGGAAUAGCCUUCCAGCUGAAGUGGUAGAGGUUAACACAGUAAAGGAGUUUAAGCAUGCGUGGGAUAGGCAUAAGGCUAUCCUAACUAUAAGAUAAGGCCAGGGACAAAUGAAAGUAUUUAGAAAAUUGGGCAGACUAGAUGGGCCGAAUGGUUCUUAUCUGCCGUCACAUUCUAUGUUUCUAUGUGCUGGUUACAUCGGAGCUAAGGAGGCAGUUUUCCUAAAUACAUGUUUUGGUGUAUAUUUUAUUUACAUUAUUUAUACUUCUUCUGAGAAGAUUUGUUCUUGUCCACUCUGUAGUUACUUCGUAUAUAGAGAUCCAAUAUAUGUUGCACUAUAUAAAGUAAUCCAUGGUGCUGGUAAGUUUAAAGCAGUGAAACCGGACUGCAGAGUUCCACAGAUUUAUAGAUAUUGUGAAGACGUGUUAGUCCUCCUAGUGGUGAAUUUUUAGAUUCCUUUAUGUCCUAUUCUGAGUUAUUGGAAAUUUGUACACCUGUCCAACAUGACUAUUUUUCUGUUCCAUUUCAUAUUUGAAACCCAGGACAUACCUGAAAAUGAGAGAAAUCUCAAUGUAUCCAUCCUAAUUUAUAAAUAAAUAUAAAGGCAUGUGUAUAUAAUGAAAGUUGAUGAGAAUAAAAUAUUCACCAUUGUUUAGUAAAGUGAUUUACCCUAAAGGGGCUUUCCAGGCACCAUAACCACUAUAGCCAAUGGAGGAUCCUACACAGAUGGGAAAAUCCUCACUGUUGGAAUAUGCAGUGUGGAAAAAGAUUUGUUUAGAAAUGUCAGCCUUAAGUUUAAUAUCAGUCCUGCCAAUACACCAAACAUCUGGCAUUCUACCUCCAUUGAAUGAUUAGGCAGGGAAACUGCAUGUGUGCAUGAGAAGCUUGACAUACUCAUGGGGAUGGAUUGGUGCACUAAUAAAUGCAAGUGUCAUCAUAUCUAUGAUGGCAAAGUCUUGUGUAUUAAAAUCAAUCCUAAAGACAGAGCAGGGGGCUCUACUGACUUGAAAAUAACUGAAUAGACAUUUAAUUAUUGCGCACCCAGUGCUUACAAGGAUAAUUUUCGUUUGCUCCCAAACAGUAUUUGUUUAAAUCCCCUGUGCUAACAUUCAAUGUUUUUAACUGUAGAUCGUUCCUACAUGCGACUUACUGAAAAGGAAGACGAGACGCUACCAAUAGAUGUAAGUACGGUUAAUAAUAAAUCAGGAUGUUCUAUGACUUUGAAAAUGUUUCUGGAUUUCUUCUUUUGAAUUAAAGAAUGUUCCUUCCCUAACAUGACUCUCUACAUACUGCAUUCCAUGUCUUAGUCUGGCUGAGAAUUUGGGAGUUGUAGUUGGUGUUUCUAAGAUGACAUGUCCACUGAUAUAAAAUAAAUGAGCAUGUUUACACACUAUUACAGUUAAUCUUGGAAACCACUGUAUUACCCUUUAGUGUAAAUAAAAAUAGAAUUUUUAUUGUACUAUAUAUACACUGGCCAGAUUUAUAUUGCUGUCAAAUGUACUGAGAAUCUUAAAAAACCAAAUAUGUUCUCUGGUUGAAUUGCAGAUAGUUCUCCAAACCUUGUUGGCUUUUGUAGUAUCCUGCUAUGGCAUUGUGCAUAUUGCUGGAGAAUUUAAAGACAUGGAUGCUACGUCAGAAUUAAAGAAUAAGUAUGCCUUCAUUUAUAUCUGUCUAUCUUUCUUUCCAGUAAAUAGAUUAAUUGCUUUAAUUAUACAGUGUAUCGCAUAUCUUUGUUUUUAACUCAAAACAUAAUAGUUGUUCUUAAUGCUCUAAUAAAACAAAACAUAUGGAUGCUUCAGGUAUUCUUUCAGUUCACUCUUCUCCCAGUCCCAUCUCUGCUGACCCCCUUAUAAAACUCUUUAUACCUCUUCCACUUCCACCAUCUUUUUUGUUUUUUUCCUGCAUUAAGGACUUCUUUGUUCUUACUCCCUCCAUUUCAGUUCUCCUUCUGUCUCUCAUCUCUCUAUCCAGUUCCUUACCAACGCCCUCACCCACUUAUUGUUCCCUAUCCUCCCUCUACCAUACAAAUUAGUCCUUACUGGUCCUCUAUUUCUUCUCUCCUCCAUAUUGGUAAACCUUCCCUUCUUGCAGUUCCACAUCAUUUUUUUAUUUUUUUUUCAAAUGUUCAAGCAGAAGUAAUUAAAAAUGAGUAGUUUUAGGUAGAUUUGAAAAUGUUAAAAACCCAUAAUGCAGUCCCCACCUCUAGCCUUAUCAAGAGCAACUUCCACCCUGAGCACCCCAGUGUUUUUUUUCAGGCAGGUCAGGUCGCAGAGUUCUCUGCUUGCCCUUGGAAGAAUAGGUUAAGCUACUCAAAUUUUUAGUUUUUGAACAGACAUGGUGAGGGGAAUGUGGCUCCCUGAGGGCUCCAUCUGGCUUUUGUAAAGGAUUGCCUGACUAUGCGCUUGUCCUUUUGUCUCAGAAAAUUGAAUAGCCUAGUAAACCUCUAAUGCAUCCUAAAGAACAAUGCUGUGAAUUAACGAGCAGAGGUUAAAAUAAAUAAGGAAAUAGUAUAUCAAGGAGUGUAAUCAUGUAAUAUACAAUUAAAUCUUACUCUAUUAGCCAAAGUUGUAUAUUAAUGUAACGAAAAUAAAAAUUUUCAAAAUUGCAGCGUGCGCGUGAGAAUAGUGUUAUACAGACUGUAGCUCAGUCUGUAAUUUAAUAGGAGGUUUAGUAUAUAGUAUAAUAAAAAUAGAGAGAAGAAAAAUGUUGCCUGUGUCAAUAUGCUGGGUUGACUAAUGGCAUUGUAAAUAACAUGAUUACUAAUUUUUUUUUAUUUUUAUUUCCCACAAAGAACCUUUGACACAUUAAGAAACCAUCCAUCAUUUUAUGUAUUUAAUCACCGAGGUCGGGUCAUGUUUCAGUCUCCCGAUUCAGAGGAUUGUCACCAAAACCAAGCUACAUUUACGUCCAAUCCUUCGCUGAAGCUUCGAAAACUAGAACCGAUGAAUCGUUAAAAACAGAUUUUUACUGAUCAUAGAACAGGACAUUGAAAUAACAUUGGAGUCCCGGAUGUAAACAAUUUUUUUCUUUUUUUUUUCUGGAGUAGUAUCUAUAUUGAUCUUCCAGACUUUAUAAAAAUUUAAACGAGGACUUUCUUUGUACACCUAAUAAAGAGGACUGUAUUGCGGAUUUGCAAUGCAGUGUAACUUAUUGCUACAAUUAUGCUGUGAAAGAUGUCUUUUAACUUGGGAAAAUAUUAAACGAUGCUGCAGCUGGUUCCUUAUUUUUUUUUAAUUUUUUUUUUUUAUCUUAAUUGCUUAAUUCAUUGGGAUAGUUAAUGCUAAAGGCUAGAUCAAUUGUUAUUUAAUAAAUUUUUUUUUUUAUCUAUAGAAACCAAGAUUUAUAUAUGCGGCUUUGAAAAUAUUUUUCAUCCGUAAAUACAGAUAGCUAUGUGACCUUUUCUUCAGUUGUAAAAAAUAAUCUGCAAAACACCUUCUUUACACUGGGGAAGGCUGUGCUACCAGUAUUUUUAUUUUAUACAUCAUUCCCAACACAAUUUUACUGUAAAACUGGAUCUGGGUCAUUCGGAAACAAGAAUGCAUGGGGAUAAUUAAAGUUAUUCACUAAAAUUAGAAUUGUCAAGAAUUCAAAGUGAAUUUUAAAUCUAAGGCCAAAUUAGCUGAACCUGGGGCAUUGCUGUUUUGGAGACUUUUAACAGUUUGAUUAUUUUAGUUUUUAUAUUCAAAUUGAAUUCUUAUUUUAGUCAAUAACCCUAAUAAAUAUCUGGGAUGGCUGCUGGGUUGUAUUACAGGUAUAUGCCAAGUUUUCAACAUAUUGAGCAAAAGCAGAACACAAAUAAUAGGUACAUUUUUAUCAGUAACUUGAAGGAUUUAUCAUGUGGCCUUCCACUGUUAUAUGCCAUAUACAAUGUACAAACAUUCUACUGUGUAGCAUGUGAAUUACAGUCAGUUAUUCACUAAACACAUUGUGAGUUGGAAAAUAUUUCCACAUUUUUUAUUUUAGCCUACUCUUCAUAUUUAAAUUACAAUUUGGUGUUUAGUAAAUGGCUCUUAAUGGGUGUAUUAAGUGAAAAGUUGACAAACCUUGCCUCUUUCUUCUGUAAAAUAGUUCUAAGUGCAUUCCUGACAGCAGCACGGGGUGAAACUACAGAUCGCUAUUUGUAAUUUACUCUGCAGUUAAUUAUUGCCUUUAAAUCCUUUAUGAACAAUGACCAGACAGAACCAAUCUAAGGCAAUUCUGAUUCUAUACAUUGAGUGUAUUGAUGGCCCCUUUUUUAAAUUUAAAAAAAACAAACAAACAAAAAAAAAAAAAAAGCUGUCACAGCCUGUCUAUAAUAUUGGAGGAACUGAAAAUGGUAGAGGUCAUCUGUUUGAACCCCUUUAAAAAAAAAAAAAAAAAAAGUGCCCAGCAUAGGUCUUUCCGAAAUUUAAGACAACCAACAACUUGUUUUGAGGUCAAUGAGCAGACUGUGGACCCAAAUGGGUAAUACCUGCUAUAAAUCUUUAUGACUUUAUUGCACAAAAAGAUUCCUUCUGGUACAUACAGACUCUUCAAGAAAUAUUAUGGCAUUGGCAUAGCAGUAAAGUUCAGGUAAGUUAAAUUAGCAAAGUAUAUUAUUCUAGUAAUAGUAAAUAUUAAGUAACUCAUCCACACAGUUACUGGCAAUUUGACUAGAACAAUGUGUAGAUUGGGUUUAAAAGUGGCACCAAGUAAUAUUAAGCAUGAUGUGCAAUUUAAGGAAACACACGAGUUUGGUCCUGGAAUCAAAUUCCUCUGAUAGCAUUUGAUUGGAGAAGUGUGAUGUUUGCCUGCACAUGCCUCAUUCCAAUCCAUUGCUUCUCUAUGAGAAGCAAUUGAUUGGAGGAGAUCAUGAGUGAUGUCAGCAUCCAAGACGAUCGACAGAGGAGGAGCUGGAAGCUGCAGCGAAGGAGUCUCAGUGCUGGAAAUUAGGUAUGUAAUAAUUAUUUUCUUAACAUUUGCAGAGCAAAGGAGAGUGGUUAAUGAUCACUUUGCUGUAAGGGAAAACUAUGUAACAAAUGUGUUUUGGAACUAUAGGUUACCUUUAAUUUUCCCUUUUAACUACAUUUGAAACUGCAUGCAUGUCAGGCUUUGAGUGUUAAGAUUAUUUAUUUCCAUGUAUGUAACGUGAUAUAAAGCACUCCGCCCUAUAUAUGUACUUUCUCUCUUUAUUACAAUGAUGGUCAUCAAAUGGUUGGACACAAGUGAAAGGCAGCAAAAAUAGAGCAAGCUGACUUUAGCGUAAAAUAGAAGAUAUGCAUAGUUAUUUGGCUAUUAGUUGGAGUCAUACAAUAGAAAUAACAUUUAUUUUAUAUAGAUAAUACAGUGGCCUACGACCAAUAGAAGAGGAAUAUUAUUUUCCCAAUAUAAUAGAAGAAUCUUAUUCAAGGAUUGUAUUUCUAUGCCAAAAACCAUUACACAGGGCUCAAGUUUGCCCUGGUUUCUUGAAUGCAUAAAACUUGGUCAACAAAUAUAAGGUAAGAAUUAAUAUGCCACCUGAGUAGAAUCAGUUCAUACUACUACAUCCUAUUGCAAGAUUUCACAGGUUAUGUCACAUUUUAAAAGAAGAGUUUUUUUUAAUUAUUUUUUUAAAUAAUCUACAAGAAGCCAUUGUAGACCAGAGGUAGGAAACCUCCAGCACUACAGGUUUUGUAGACUACGCCCCCCCCCCCAAUAACGCUGGCAAAGCAGGAAGGGAGACGUAGUCUGCAAUAUUUGGAAUGCCGGUUUGCCAUAUUGGGAUCCAAAAGUGGGUCUUCAGUAGUAGGAAUUGGCACAUAUUCACCACAGGCAACUGCCAAUAAAUUACUUUAGCAGCACUACAUUCCCCAGUAUUUUAUAUUGAAUUUCAAGUCUAAAUCUGAGCUCAAUUGUUAGUUGAUGUAUGGGGCUGCCAAGCCAAUGCUGUGUACAUAAUUUAUUCCUAGGAUAAAAAAUGUCUUAAGAAACACUGAUUUAGGUAUUGCCAUAACUAGGAGAUACCUUUAGAUUGUAAGCGCGUGGGCUAUGUAACAAAGCACAUUGUAUAAAAGAGCUCAAGUGUUAGAUCUCAGCUCACAGCAGAGCCCUCUUUACUUUUUGUAUUUGUCUGUACGGUCUUCCUUAAUUGUACAGCGCAGCAGAAUAUGUUGGCGCUUUAUAAAUGGCAGUAAUAAAUAAUGUCUGCACAAAAUCUAUUCAAAUAACAAUUACAAGCAUACAUUUAUUAUGUUGUUACAUGCAUAUGACUAAGAAUUGCCUCUGACUCUUUGGUCUUCAAUGUGGUUAGUUUGAUAUUUUGACAAUAAAUGUUCCUGAAGAUGUGGUUACAAUAUUGGACUCUUUGCAUUUAGUCAGAGCAAAACAUACCCAAAAUGACUUCUGUCCACAAUGUAAAUGCUGUAUAUUUCAUUUGGUAAUGAGUGCUUGUCCAAAGAUUGACCUUUCUGAUAAUCUUUGUGAUUUUAGCAAGGGUUUCUGGGAGUCAAAUUCAAAUCCUCUGCUUUCUACAAGUCGUGACAUUAUGUACAGCAAACAUUUUUGGUUUAAAGAAGGAAAAUACUAAGAUAAGGCAGAAAAUUAAAUAUUGCUCCACAAUGUGUGUGUGCUAAAUCCAUGUAGUAGUUUUUUUUUGUUUUGAAUCUAUCAUCUGAAAAGUUGUUUUACUGUUCUUCUGGUUAAAAGUUAACUUUUUAUAGUAAAAAUAUGCAAACCCUGUUGCUGUCUCUACUGAAAAAUCAAUGCAAAUUUAUUUCAAUGCACCUAAUAAAACAACUGUAUGUGAGUAUUCAUUUUUCAUUUCUGUUUAUCCCUUUUAUGAUUUGUGUGACUGUCUGUCUGAUGUUCUAUCAAAGAAUGUCCCAUCAUCUAUCUCUUCAAUAAACUCUGGGAAUCUAUAAGUACUGCACUGUUGCAAGUGGCUGG
rnacentral:lncRNA from 1 species